rnacentral:rRNA from 1 species
UGGGGAAUAUUGCACAAUGGGCGAAAGCCUGAUGCAGCAACGCCGCGUGAGUGAUGAAGGCCUUCGGGUUGUAAAGCUCUGUCUUUUGGGACGAUAAUGACGGUACCAAAGGAGGAAGCCACGGCUAACUACGUGCCAGCAGCCGCGGUAAUACGUAGGUGGCAAGCGUUGUCCGGAUUUACUGGGCGUAAAGGAUGCGUAGGCGGAUUUUUAAGUGAGAUGUGAAAACCCUAAGCUUAACUUGGGGACUGCAUUUCAUACUGGAAAUCUAGAGUGCGGGAGAGGAGAAUGGAAUUCCUAGUGUAGCGGUGAAAUGCGUAGAGAUUAGGAAGAACACCAGUGGCGAAGGCGAUUCUCUGGACCGUAACUGACGCUGAGGCAUGAAAGCGUGGGUAGCAAACAGGAUUAGAUACCCUGGUAGUCCACGCCGUAAACGAUGAGUACUAGGUGUAGGAGGUAUCGACCCCUUCUGUGCCGCAGUUAACACAAUAAGUACUCCGCCUGGGAAGUACGAUCGCAAGAUUAAAAACUCAAAGGAAUUGACGGGGUCAUAGCUGUUUCCU